CACAACUCCGGCCAAGACAAU
rnacentral:siRNA from 1 species